rnacentral:rRNA from 1 species
AGAGUUUGAUCAUGGCUCAGAAUCAACGCUGGCGGCGCGCCUAACACAUGCAAGUCGAGCGAGAAAGUGGAGCAAUCCAUGAGUACAGCGGCGUACGGGUGAGUAACACGUGGGUAAUCUACCUCUUAGUGGGGAAUAACCCUGGGAAACCGGGGCUAAUACCGCAUAAGCCUGAGAAGGGAAAGCAGCAAUGCGCUGAGAGAGGAGCCCGCGGCUGAUUAGCUAGUUGGUGAGGUAAAGGCCCACCAAGGCAUAGAUCGGUAGCCGGCCUGAGAGGGCACAUGGCCACACUGGCACUGAAACACGGGCCAGACUCCUACGGGAGGCAGCAGUGGGGAAUCUUGCACAAUGGGGGAAACCCUGAUGCAGCGACGCCGCGUGAGCGAUGAAGCCCUUCGGGGUGUAAAGCUCUUUCGGCAGGGAAGAUUAUGACGGUACCUGCAGAAGCAGCUGCGGCUAACUACGUGCCAGCAGCCGCGGUAAUACGUAGGCAGCGAGCGUUGUUCGGAGUUACUGGGCGUAAAGGGUGUGUAGGCGGUUCUUUAAGUUUGGUGUGAAAUCUCCCGGCUCAACUGGGAGGGUGCGCCGAAUACUGAGGGACUAGAGUGCGGGAGAGGAAAGUGGAGUUCCUGGUGUAGCGGUGAAAUGCGUAGAUAUCAGGAGGAACACCGGUGGUGUAGACGGCUUUCUGGACCGUAACUGACGCUGAGACACGAAAGCGUGGGUACAAACAGGAUUAGAUACCCUAGUAGUCC